UACGGAGGGUGCAAGCGUUAUCCGGAUUCACUGGGUUUAAAGGGUGCGUAGGUGGGUUGGUAAGUCAGUGGUGAAAUCUCCAGGCUUAACUUGGAAACUGCCAUUGAUACUAUCACUCUUGAAUACCGUGGAGGUCAGCGGAAUAUGUCAUGUAGCGGUGAAAUGCGUAGAGAUCGGGAGGAACACCAGAGGCGAAGGCGGCGACCUGGACAGGUACUGACACUCAACUACGAAAGCGUGGGGAGCAAACAGG
rnacentral:rRNA from 1 species